rnacentral:rRNA from 1 species
CUAGCUACAGGCUUAACACAUGCAAGUCGAGGGGCUGCAUGGUCUUAGCUUGCUAAGGCCGAUGGCGACCGGCGCACGGGUGAGUAACGCGUAUCCAACCUGCCUUACACUCUUGGACAGCCUUCUGAAAGGGAGAUUAAUACAAGAUGUUAUCAUGAGUAAGCAUUUUCGCAUGAUUAAAGGUUUACCGGUGUAAGAUGGGGAUGCGUUCCAUUAGAUAGUAGGCGGGGUAACGGCCCACCUAGUCUUCGAUGGAUAGGGGUUCUGAGAGGAAGGUCCCCCACAUUGGAACUGAGACACGGUCCAAACUCCUACGGGAGGCAGCAGUGAGGAAUAUUGGUCAAUGGACGAGAGUCUGAACCAGCCGAGUAGCGUGAAGGAUGAAGGUUCUAUGGAUUGUAAACUUCUUUUAUACGGGAAUAAACGGAUCCACGUGUGGAUUUUUGCAUGUACCGUAUGAAUAAGGAUCGGCUAACUCCGUGCCAGCAGCCGCGGUAAUACGGAGGAUCCGAGCGUUAUCCGGAUUUAUUGGGUUUAAAGGGAGCGUAGAUGGGUUGUUAAGUCAGUUGUGAAAGUUUGCGGCUCAACCGUAAAAUUGCAAUUGAUACUGGCAGUCUUGAGUACAGUUGAGGUAGGCGGAAUUCGUGGUGUAGCGGUGAAAUGCUUAGAUAUCACGAAGAACUCCGAUUGCGAAGGCAGCUUACUAACCUGUAACUGACAUUGAUGCUCGAAAGUGUGGGUAUCAAACAGGAUUAGAUACCCUGGUAGUCCACACGGUAAACGAUGAAUACUCGCUGUAGGCGAUAUACAGUCUGCGGCCAAGCGAAAGCAUUAAGUAUUCCACCUGGGGAGUACGCCGGCAACGGUGAAACUCAAAGGAAUUGACGGGGGCCCGCACAAGCGGAGGAACAUGUGGUUUAAUUCGAUGAUACGCGAGGAACCUUACCCGGGCUUAAAUUGCAACCGAAUAUGGCGGAAACGCUAUAGCUAGCAAUAGCGGUUGUGAAGGUGCUGCAUGGUUGUCGUCAGCUCGUGCCGUGAGGUGUCGGCUUAAGUGCCAUAACGAGCGCAACCCUUGUUGUCAGUUACUAACAGGUUCCGCUGAGGACUCUGACAAGACUGCCAUCGUAAGAUGUGAGGAAGGUGGGGAUGACGUCAAAUCAGCACGGCCCUUACGUCCGGGGCUACACACGUGUUACAAUGGGGGGUACAGAGGGCUGCUACCACGCAAGUGGAUGCCAAUCCCAAAAACCUCUCUCAGUUCGGAUUGAAGUCUGCAACCCGACUUCAUGAAGCUGGAUUCGCUAGUAAUCGCGCAUCAGCCACGGCGCGGUGAAUACGUUCCCGGGCCUUGUACACACCACCCGUCAAGCCAUGGGAGCCGGGGGUACCUGAAGUGCGUAACCGCAAGGAGCGCCCUAGGGUAAAACUGGUGACUGGGGC